rnacentral:rRNA from 1 species
AAGAGUGCGUAACAGCUCACUGGUCGAGCGACCGGGCAUCGAUAAUACGCGGGCAUCAAAUCUAGUACCGAAGCAAUGGAUUCAUCGUAUGAUGAGUGGUAGGGGAGCAUUCUCCUUGCGGUGAAGCCGUGUCGUCAGGCAUGGUGGAGCGUGGAGAAAAGCACAUGUAGGCAUGAGUAACGAUAAAAUGGGUGCGAAACCCAUUCGCCGAUAGACUAAGGUUUCCAGCUCAACGCUAAUCGGAGCUGGGUUAGUCGGGACCUAAGGGGCAGCCGAAAGGUGAACUCGAU